UACGAAGGGGGCUAGCGUUGCUCGGAAUUACUGGGCGUAAAGCGCACGUAGGCGGCUUUCUAAGUCGGGGGUGAAAUCCUGGAGCUCAACUCCAGAACUGCCUUCGAUACUGGAGAGCUUGAGUCCGGGAGAGGUGAGUGGAAUUCCUAGUGUAGAGGUGAAAUUCGUAGAUAUUAGGAAGAACACCAGUGGCGAAGGCGGCUCACUGGCCCGGUACUGACGCUGAGGCGCGAAAGCGUGGGGAGCAAACAGG
rnacentral:rRNA from 1 species